UGCGAAUGGCUCAUUAAAUCAGUUAUCGUUUAUUUGAUAGUACCUUACUACUUGGAUAACCGUGGUAAUUCUAGAGCUAAUACAUGCUAAAAAUCCCGACUUCGGAAGGGAUGUAUUUAUUAGAUUAAAAACCAAUGCCCUUUGGGCUCACUGGUGAUUCAUGAUAACUUCUCGAAUCGCAUGGCCUUGCGCCGGCGAUGGUUCAUUCAAAUUUCUGCCCUAUCAACUUUCGACGGCUGGGUCUUGGCCAGCCAUGGUGACAACGGGUAACGGAGGGUUAGGGCUCGACCCCGGAGAAGGAGCCUGAGAAACGGCUACUACAUCCAAGGAAGGCAGCAGGCGCGCAAAUUACCCAAUCCCGACACGGGGAGGUAGUGACAAUACAUACUGAUACAGGGCUCUUUUGGGUCUUGUAAUUGGAAUGAGUACAAUUUAAAUCCCUUAACGAGGAACAAUUGGAGGGCAAGUCUGGUGCCAGCAGCCGCGGUAAUUCCAGCUCCAAUAGCGUAUAUUAAAGUUGUUGCGGUUAAAAAGCUCGUAGUUGAACCUUGGGCCUGGCUGGCCGGUCCGCCUCACCGCGUGCACUGGUACGGUCGGGCCUUUCCCUCUGGGGAACCGCAUGCCCUUCACUGGGUGUGUCGGGGAACCAGGACUUUUACUUUGAAAAAAUUAGAGUGUUCAAAGCAGGCUUAUGCUCGGAUACAUUAGCAUGGAAUAAUAGAAUAGGACGUGCGGUUCUAUUUUGUUGGUUUCUAGGACCGCCGUAAUGAUUAAUAGGGACAGUCGGGGGCAUCAGUAUUCAAUUGUCAGAGGUGAAAUUCUUGGAUUUAUUGAAGACUAACUACUGCGAAAGCAUUUGCCAAGGAUGUUUUCAUUAAUCAGGAACGAAAGUUAGGGGAUCGAAGACGA
rnacentral:rRNA from 1 species